UACAGAGGUCUCAAGCGUUGUUCGGAUUCAUUGGGCGUAAAGAGCGUGUAGGCGGCCCGGUAAGUCCGCUGUGAAAGUCGGGGGCUCAACCCUCGAAUGCCGGUGGAUACUGUCGGGCUAGAGUGCGGAAGAGGCGAGUGGAAUUCCCGGUGUAGCGGUGAAAUGCGCAGAUAUCGGGAGGAACACCUAUGGCGAAGGCAGCUCGCUGGGACGUUACUGACGCUGAGACGCGAAAGCGUGGGGAGCAAACAGG
rnacentral:rRNA from 1 species